GUGAAAAAGAAACUCUCGUUUCUCUUCAAAAAUGGAUUCUCUCAGACAACAGUAAUUGAUCCCUAGCUUCCUCCGCUAAAACUUUCUCCCUCUCUAGCCUCCUUCACUCCGAAGAACCAUCGCUUUCUCUGUCUUCAUCUUCUCCAACGACCACUAUGGACAGCAAGAGCAGUGGCAGAUUAGUGGUCCCGGCACCGAGUGAGCCUGGGAAGAAGAUCGAGAUGUACUAACCUGCUUUCUAUGCUGCUUGCAAUGCUCGUGCUUAAGUUACUGUGUUUGUGCGUGAUUUUGAUAUUUGAAUCUUUAAUUACAGUUAACGAAUAAGGAUCCAAGCAACUAAGCAAGGUUUUUUCCCUAUUAUGGGCUGCUAUCAAUGCUGGGGAUCGGGUUAAUAGUUCCUUGAAAGACAUGGCAGUGGUGAUGAAGCAAUUGGAUUGAGCUGAUGAGGCAAAUGAGGCGAUCAAAUCUUUUCGUCAUCUCUACCCCUAUGAUUCUCGGGAAUCUAUUGAGAAUGUGCUCGUUGAACUCUACAAGGGCUUCAGGGGAACAUGAAUCAUCUCGAAGGGUCAAAUCUGAACUUUUGGUUCAGGUAGAUGGUGUAAACAAUAGUCCCACUUGUGAAGAUGCCCAUCGGAAAAUAGUGAUGGUUUUGGCAGCUACAAACUUUUCUUGGGACAUAGAUGAGGCACUAAGAUCGGUUCGUUGUCUUCUGGAGGAGAUUGGAAAAGCAUAUUUAUAUUCCAUUUUCAAAUUUUGAGAGUCGUAAGGAGCUUAUUAGGAUCAAUUUGAAAACUAUUGAGAUCUUGGAUCAAAUCAAAUCAAAUCAUUCUUUGAGUUGUUAUUGUUAGGCCACACGUCGCCUUGUCACCUAGAGGUGGCCACUGAUGUAGAUAUUGAUGAAGUUGCUCGCAGGACGGAGGGAUACAGUGAAGAUGCUCUAACUAAUGUUUCCAGAGAUGCUUCUUUGAAUGGCAUGAGGUGAAAGAUAACAAGCAAGCCACAAGAUGAUAUUAAGAACAUGCCUAAGGAUGAGGUUUCAAAUGAUCCUAUUGCAAUGUAUGAUUUUGAAGAAGCCUUGUGGAAGGUUCAGCGCAGUAUUUCCCAAUCAGAUAUGGAGAAGCAUGAGGAGUGGUUCCCGGAAUUUGGAUCAGCCUAAGGGAGAUGAGACCCAUCUUAUGAUGAAGACUACUGCUGAUUGGUAUUUUCUUUGCAUGUUUUUCACUAAGAACCUGGCUUUUUUAUUGUAACUUACACAUACCAUUUCAUUCA